UCCGGUUUGGCACCGGCAGUCCUCCCAGAGUCCUCAGCAUUACCUGGUAGCAACUGGGAGCGGGGGUUGCGCUCGUUGCGGGACUUAACCCAACAUCUCACGACACGAGCUGACGACAGCCAUGCAGCACCUGUGCACUGGCCCCGAAGGGCUGCCGUAUUUCUACGACAUUCCAGUGCAUGUCAAGCCUUGGUAAGGUUCUUCGCGUUGCGUCGAAUUGAACCACAUGUUCCACCGCUUGUGCGGGCCCCCGUCAAUUCCUUUGAGUUUCAGCCUUGCGGCCGUACUCCCCAGGCGGGGUACUUCCUGCGUUAGCGCCGGCACCCAGGGGGUCGCUCCCCCAGGCACCUAGUACCCAUCGUUUACGGCGUGGACUAC
rnacentral:misc_RNA from 1 species